GAGAGUCGCUGCUCUAGGCUCACGUGUCACAACGCCACUUGCAGGCUGGCGGGACAGAACUACCCAGGCAGCCUCCUCCUCCCAAAGAGCCCCUCCCGCCUUGCCGCCUGCAGGGGGCAAGCGCAUUCAUUGGCUACUGCGCCGCCCAAUCAGGACGGGAGCUGUUAUGCCGAUAAUAACUGUAAGCCUGAGGCGUGAAGGCGGCUCCUGAAGUCGCUGGUUCUAGUCUCAGGCUGGACGCCGCUGGGGGGCUCAGGUCUGUAUCCCUCAGCCCGGCCUCGAAGCUGCUGUAUUCUUGCGGGCCCCAGCCCGGAUAACCUCUUUCUCUCCAACCCCAGAGCCUGCUGCAAAGGGACAUCCAAGGACCCCCACGGAGCAUGGCCCCAAGCAUUGCAAGGCCAAAAAUCCUGUCCCUUUCUCCCUGCACUCAGUGCUGCAUUGGAUCCACUGCAUCUGGGGCCCUCUGUGGCUAAAGGGGCAGGAUUUGUCCACAAAAAUAGGCAAAUCUCCAUUAGCAGUGUAGAGAUAUGACACAUCAUUUAACAGUUCUGAUUCUAUCCACUUGAGAACUCUUCUGUCAUUGUCACUAUCUUCCCAGGUAUGCCAAGUCACUUCAUCAGAUACGACAAACUUGCUUGAUGCACUGAAUCAAAGGCCUGAUGGAAGUCUAUAAAAAGUGCUGCUCAUGGCUUAUGAAAUGCAGCCAUCUUCUCAAAAAGCUGUCUCCAGAUGCUGCUGCUGAGACCAGGACUCGAUAGAUGACAACGACCCACCGGACCACGAUCACCACUGGAACAGCUACUGCAGCGGAGAAUGGCGAUGAAUGACUAUGAAGAAUCAGGCAAAGGCCCCAGAGCUGAGCUGGCAGCAAUCAGCCCUGAUGACUUGAAACACCAUUUCUCAUCAGAUGACGGAGGGAGAGAGAUUUCAGUCUCUAAUGCUUUGAUCGCCCUAAGGAGUUCAGAACAGAAAGCCAUUUGAUAGCUUGGUUGUAAGAAGAGCUGAAUCAGACUAAUUUCAGCCCAUUUUUUUUUUUCUUUUCAAAGUAGGAGACACAUUUUUGUCUCUGCGAACCCAUACAUCAGUGACUGUUGAUCACCAAUGA